GUCCACGGCCAUGCCACCCUGAACAAGCCCGAUCCUGUCUGAUCCCAGAAGCUAAGCAGGGUCAGGCCUGGUUAGCACUUGGAUGGGAGACCACCUAAGAAGACCAGGUAUUAUAGGCA
rnacentral:rRNA from 1 species